GACGAACGCUGGCGGCGUGCCUAAUACAUGCAAGUUGAGCGCUGAAGGUUGGUACUUGUACCGACUGGAUGAGCAGCGAACGGGUGAGUAACGCGUGGGGAAUCUGCCUUUGAGCGGGGGACAACAUUUGGAAACGAAUGCUAAUACCGCAUAACAACUUUAAACACAAGUCUUAAGUUUGAAAGAUGCAAUUGCAUCACUCAAAGAUGAUCCCGCGUUGUAUUAGCUAGCUGGUGAGGUAAAGGCUCACCAAGGCGAUGAUACAUAGCCGACCUGAGAGGGUGAUCGGCCACAUUGGGACUGAGAAACGGCCCAAACUCCUACGGGGGGCAGCAGUAGGGGAACUUCGGCAAUGGGCGAAAGUCUGACCGAGCAACGCCGCGUGAGUGAAGAAGGUUUUCGGAUCGUAAAACUCUGUUGGUAGAGAAGAACGUUGGUGAGAGUGGAAAGCUCAUCAAGUGACGGUAACUACCCAGAAAGGGACGGCUAACUACGUGCCAGCCGCCGCAGUAA
rnacentral:rRNA from 1 species